UGGCCCUGGCCGAAGGUUUCCUCCUGAGUCAGGCAGAGGAGAGAAAGCAGGAAAUGGAUCAUUUUGCAGAAAUUGACCAGGAUACCUGUGAGGCAGAGAGGCCUCCGUUGGACACCAGAGGGAGGCCACUGGGUGACAGAAGGAUGCCGGCAAAACCUCCUGAUCCACCUUUUCAUGGGGGCAGAAGGGAAGCAGCGGCUGUGGAACCAGAUCAGGGUCCAGUGUGCUUUGAAGAUGUCGCUGUUCGUUUCACGGACGAG